rnacentral:rRNA from 1 species
UAUUAAAGGCAAUGCCUGCCCAGUGAGAACUUCUUCAACGGCCGCGGUACCCUAACCGUGCAAAGGUAGCGUAAUCAUUUGUCUAUUAAUUGUAGACCAGUAUGAAAGGCCACAUGAGAGUCAAACUGUCUCUUGUAAUCAAUCAAUUAAACUGAUCUCCCAGUACAAAAGCUGGUAUAUUCAUAUAAGACCAGAAGACCCUGUGAAGCUUAAAUUAACCUAUUAAAUCCCAUAAUAACUACUUUCAGUUGGGGCGACUUUGGAACAAAACAGAACUUCCAAAUAACAUGAGCUAUUCCUCAUUACACAGGCCAACAAGCCACUACAAGACCCAGUAACACUGACAAUUGAACCAAGUUACUCCAGGGAUAACAGCGCCAUCUUCUUUAAGAGCCCAUAUCAAAAAGAAGGUUUACGACCUCGAUGUUGGAUCAGGACACCCAAAUGGUGCAGCCGCUAUUAAAGGUUCGUUUGUUCAACGAUUAACAGUCCU